GUGCUCCAUCCCUGCAGGCUGAGGAGCAGCUCUGUCCUGGGGCUGUGAUGGACAAGGUGCUGGGAUCCCACGGGUGACUCAGGCAGCCACUCACUGCAGCAGGGGCUUGCCCCAGCCCGGCGGUGGAACAGCUGGGAUGUUCCCACUCACAUGAGAGAGCUGUUCAUGGGGAGUGGAAAAAGACAGCAGGCCUGUGACAUUUCAAGGUGACACUCAGCAGCAGAAGUUUCCGAGUAGAUGCGAGAGGGGGUUUCUGCUUUGCCUCAGAGGUGUGAGCAGCACGGGGGUUUCUGCAGAGCCACAGGGAGAAAGUGCAGCACUCGCUGCAGGGUGAGGAAAACUCACUGCAGGGUGAGCAGAACUCAGUGCAGGUGAGCAGCACGCAGUGGAGGGUGAGCAAAACUCACUGCAGGUUGAACAGCACUCAGUGCAGGUUGAGCAGCACUCAGUGCAAGGUGAGCAGCACUCAGUGCAGGGUGAGCAGCACAGUGCAGGGUGAGCAGCACUCAGUGCAGGGGGGGGGGGGGGGGGGGGGGGGGGGGGGGGGGGGGGGGGGGGGUGAGCAGCACUCACUGCAGGGUGAGCAGCACUCGCUGCAGGGUGAGGUCCCAACACAGACCCAUCAGCACUGUGUGCAGCACGGCCGGGUGCAGUGUCUGGAUUAGAUCCCAUUUUGGUCUCUGGCAGGUUGUCACGUGCUGAGCUCUGCCUCAGCAAUCCCUGCUCCCCCACACCUGACAGGGCUGAGCCGGCCUGAGGCGCCCAGCCCAGCCCACAGCAGCACAUCUCAGCUCAGAUGCCGUCUCUGGAGCUGGCUCUGGCCAUGGCGCAGCGCUGUGCCUGCAGGUGCUGCUGCGGGGGCUGCUGGAAGCUCUGACUCACCAUCUAUCACAGGCUGUUCCUGCCUCCUCUCUGGUGUUUUCAGAUUCCUCUGGUGCCAGAUCAAAGAAACAGGAGGGAUGCUGCUGCAAACAGCCCUUUAUUAGAAACAGUGGGUUUAGGACUGUGCAAGAGCAUAUUUCUCAUUACUAAUUUUCAGAGAGCGGAGCUGCCAGCCUAUGAAAGUGCUGCACAGUGGAAAAUUGCUCUUUGGGGGCUAAUGGGGCUUUCACAGUCACUGGGUGGG
rnacentral:lncRNA from 1 species